rnacentral:rRNA from 1 species
UGGGGAAUAUUGCACAAUGGGCGCAAGCCUGAUGCAGCCAUGCCGCGUGUAUGAAGAAGGCCUUCGGGUUGUAAAGUACUUUCAGCGGGGAGGAAGGUGUUGAGGUUAAUAACCUCAGCAAUUGACGUUACCCGCAGAGAAGCACCGGCUAACUCCGUGCCAGCAGCCGCGGUAAUACGGAGGGUGCAAGCGUUAAUCGGAAUUACUGGGCGUAAAGCGCACGCAGGCGGUCUGUCAAGUCGGAUGUGAAAUCCCCGGGCUCAACCUGGGAACUGCAUUCGAAACUGGCAGGCUAGAGUCUUGUAGAGGGGGGUAGAAUUCCAGGUGUAGCGGUGAAAUGCGUAGAGAUCUGGAGGAAUACCGGUGGCGAAGGCGGCCCCCUGGACAAAGACUGACGCUCAGGUGCGAAAGCGUGGGGAGCAAACA